UUAGAGGAAGUAAAAGUCGUAACAAGGUUUCCGUAGGUGAACCUGCGGAAGGAUCAUUAACGAAUUGUUCGGGAAGCUGAUGCCUGCUUCGGCGUGUGCUCGCUUCCUGCAAUCCAUCCAUACACCUGUGCACACUUUGUCGAGAAGAGAAGGAGCGAACRGGAUUCCGAAACGGAUCCUGAACGCGAACGCUCUUCUCACAUACAUAAACUCUUGUCAAAAAUCUUGAACGUGACCGCGAGCCGCAAGGCCGUAAUAAUCAUAAUACAACUUUUAACAACGGAUCUCUUGGCUCUCGCAUCGAUGAAGAACGCAGCGAAAUGCGAUACGUAAUGUGAAUUGCAGAAUUCAGUGAAUCAUCGAAUCUUUGAACGCACCUUGCGCUCCUUGGUAUUCCGAGGAGCACGCCUGUUCGAGUGUCGUGAAGCUCUCAAGCUGGUUGCUUUAUUGUCAACUGUAGGCUUGGAUAUGGACCUUGACGUUUUCGCAAGAGAACGACUGGUCCGAAAUGCAUUAGCUGACCCUUGUUGUGGAUUCGGUUCUACUCGACGUGAUAAAUAUCGAUCGUCGAGGACAUCUCCAGGGAUGGCCGGAUUUGCCUUGGGACGCUCCUAAUCGUGUUUUCGAACACAAUUUUUUCAAUUUUGACCUCGAAUCAGGUGGGACUACCCGCUGAACUUAAGCAUA
rnacentral:rRNA from 1 species